rnacentral:tRNA from 1 species
AGAUAAUGAAGUAAUAAUACAUUUAGUUUCGACCUAAAAAUUAGGGUACAAUUGCCCCUUAUCUA